rnacentral:lncRNA from 1 species
CAGCCAUGGCUCACACGUGACACAGGAGUGCCACAAAACUGGCUUCCAUGUGGGUGUCACAUGAUACAGGCUUUGGUCACGCAUGGCUCACACAUGGUUCAGGUGUGGCUCAUGCAUAUCUGUGGUGUUGCUCAGGCGUGGCUCAUAUGUGUUUGUGGCAUGGGUGGCACGUGGUUCAGGCAUGGCAGGCAAUUUGUGCCAGUGUGGCUGACACGUGCUUCGAGUGAGGCUGACCUUUGGUUCAAGUGUGACUAGCACUUGAUUCUGGCCUGGCUGGCACGUGACUUGGCGCGGCUGAGCCUUGAAACAGGCGUGGUUCACACGUUGUUCAGGCGUGGCUGACACAUCUCUCAGGUGAGCUGGAAACGUGACACAGGCGUGCCUGACACGUCACGCAUGUGGGGUUCACACAUGGUUCAUGCAUGGCCUUCGAGUGGUUCAGUGUUAGCUGGUGCAUGGUUCACGGAUGGGUGGCACUUGGUUCAGGCGUGGAUGAAAUGUGACUCCAGCAUGUGUGAAACAGGACUCCGGUGUGGCUGACACAUGUGUCAGGCAUGGCUGACACAUGACUCAGGCAUUCAUCGCCCAGUAUCCAUGUGUGACGGAAAUGUGAUCACGCAGGAGUCACAUGCGAUACAUGGGUGGCUCCCACGUGACUGCAGGUUGCUGAAACCUGGCCCCCACAUACUCAGUCAUGGCUGCCACGUGGCUCACGCAUGCCCUAGCUGUGUCUCAUGUGUGAGUCCCCUGUGGUUCAUGUGUGGUUCAACCACCGAACAUGUGUGUUUCACUGGUUCUUCAGAUGUGGUUCAAGGGUGUCUCCCAUGUGGUUGCGGCAUGGCUCACACAUGGUUCGUGUGUAAUACAGGCGUGCAUCUCACACGACUCAUCUGGGUCACAUAUGGUUGAGGACAGUCUCACACGUGGUUCAGGCAUAGCUCAGCCGUGGCUCACACGUGAUGCAGGCGUGCCACACAACUGGCUCACAUGUGGCUGAUACGUGAUUCAGGCUUUUGUCACGCAUGGCUCACACAUGGCUCAGUUGUGGCUCAUGCAUGGCUGUGGUGUUGCUCAGUCAUGGCUCACAUGUUUUUGCGGUAUGGUUGGCACGUGGCUCAGGCAUGGCAGGCAAGUUGUGCCAGUGUGGCUGACACAUGCUUCAAGUGAGGCUGACCUGUGGUUCAAGUGUGACUGGCACUUGGAUCAGGACUGGCUGGCACGUGGCUUCAGCACAGCAGAGAUGUGACUCAGGUGUUGCGCACACGUUAUUUAGGCGUGGACGACACACGGCUCAAGUGUGGCGGCCACAUGACA